rnacentral:rRNA from 1 species
UACGUAGGGCGCAAGCGUUGUCCGGAAUUAUUGGGCGUAAAGAGCUCGUAGGCGGUCUGUUACGUCUGCUGUGAAAACCCAGGGCUUAACCCUGGGCUUGCAGUGGAUACGGGCAGACUAGAGGCAGGUAGGGGAGAAUGGAAUUCCCGGUGUAGCGGUGAAAUGCGCAGAUAUCGGGAGGAACACCGGUGGCGAAGGCGGUUCUCUGGGCCUGACCUGACGCUGAGGAGCGAAAGCGUGGGGGAGCGAAACAGG